rnacentral:rRNA from 1 species
CCCCCUGGCUAUUCGGGGCAUGCCUGUUUGAGUAUCAUGAACACCUCAACUCUCAUGGUUUUGCCGUGAUGAGCUUGGACUUUGGGGGUCUUGCUGGCCUGUGGUCGGCUCCUCUCAAAUGAAUCAGCUUGCCAGUGUUUGGUGGCGUCACAGGUGUGAUAACUAUCUACGCUUGUGGUUUCCCACCAGGUAACCUUCAGUGAUGAAGGUUCGCUGGAGCUCAUAAACGUCUCUCCUCAGCGAGGACAGCUUCUUGAAUGUUUGAUCUCAAAUCAGGUAGGGCUACCCGCUGAACUUAAGCAUAUCAAUAAGCGGAGG